UGGGUCUCAGUCCAGAUGAGGGACUCC
rnacentral:piRNA from 1 species